GUUGCACAUGAAAAAGUGUUAUAUUUUCCACCAGGUGGCAUAAAGUGUUAUCUUUUCCACCAGGGGGCAUAAAGUGUUAUAUUUUCCACCAGGUGGCAUAAAGUGUUAUAUUUUCCACCAGGGGGCAUAAAGUGUUAUCUUUUCCACCAGGGGGCAUAAAGUGUUAUCUUUUCCACCAGGGGGCAUAAAGUGUUAUAUUUUCCACCAGGUGGCAUAAAGUGUUAUCUUUUCCACCAGGGGGCAUAAAGUGUUAUCUUUUCCACCAGG